GCUGGGUGUGGUGGCAGGCACCUGUAAUCCCAGCUGCUUGGGAGGCUGAGGUAGGAGAAUUGCUUGAACCCAGGAGGUGGAGCUUGCAGUGAGUCAAGAUCGUGCCAUUGCACUCUAGCCUGGGUGACAAGAGCAAAGCUCCUUCUCUCCUUUUUUUUUUGAGACGCAGUUUCGCUCUUGUUACCCAGGCUGGAGUGCAAUGGUGCGAUCUCGGCUCACUGCAACCUCCGCCUCCUGUGUUCAAGCAAUUCUCCUGCCUCAG
rnacentral:SRP_RNA from 1 species